AUUGAACGCUAGCGGGAUGCUUUACACAUGCAAGUCGAACGAGUGGCGGACGGGUGAGUAAUAUAUCGGAACGUGCCCAAUGGCGGGGGAUAACUACUCGAAAGAGUGGCUAAUACCGCAUACUAUUGGAACUGCCGAUAUGGGAUUAGCUAGUUGGUGGGGUAAAGGCUCACCAAGGCAACGAUCCGUAGCUGGUCUGAGAGGAAGACCAGCCACAAUGGGACUGAGACACGGCCCAGACGCCUACGGGAGGCAGCAGUGGGGAAUUUUGGACAAUGGGGGAAAUCCUGAUCCAGCCAUCCCGCGUGUAUGAGAAGGCCUUCGGGUUGUAAAGUACUUUUGGCAGAGAAGCGGUAUCUGCAGAAUAAGCACCGGCUAACUACGUGCCAGCAGCCGCGGUAAUAC
rnacentral:rRNA from 1 species